AUACGUAGGUGACAAGCGUUGUCCGGAUUUAUUGGGCGUAAAGCGAGCGCAGGCGGUCUUUUAAGUCUGAUGUGAAAGCCCACGGCUCAACCGAGGAAGGUCAUUGGAAACUGGAAGACUUGAAUGCAGAAGAGGACAGUGGAAUUCCAUGUGUAGCGGUGAAAUGCGUAGAUAUAUGGAGGAACACCAGUGGCGAAGGCGACUUUCUGGUCUGUAAUUGACGCUGAGGCUCGAAAGCGUGGGGAGCGAACAGGAUUAGAUACCCUGGUAGUCCACGCCGUAAACGAUGAGUGCUAAGUGUUGGAGGGUUUCCGCCCUUCAGUGCUGCAGCUAACGCAUUAAGCACUCCGCCUGGGGAGUACGACCGCAAGGUUGAA
rnacentral:rRNA from 1 species